AUUUUACAGCUGCACAGGGGGGAGUGCAGCCCGUGACUGGAAGUACCCAGCGGCAGACCAAGAAUGUCAGUUCCAUGAAAAAGGACUCUGACCCUGCUCUGUCUGGUUCACUGGCACCAGCACCAUACAGCCAGAGUAGCCUCUUGGAGGCAGGCGGAUAGUUGAGAAGUCUCCACCGUGCCCUGACGGAGGUUUUCCAAUCUGCACAGAAGCUGAGGGACAGGAGAAAGCUGUUCUCUGCCUGAACAAGGAGGAGGCCCCUCUUGAAACCUAUCAGUCACACCUGUAUUGACUUACACCUGUGAAAAUGUACAAGAGACACCCUCUUCCGCCCAUACUCCCUCCUUCUUCUUUAACCCCACUCUUCUUUUCUUUUUUUUUUUCCCUCACCGACCAAGGAUUUCUAUUAUUUCUUGAAAAAAUUGUCGGGGUCUAUGCUAAAUCUAUUAUCUAAAUCUAUUAUCUAAAUCAAUUAAGUCAACGGGAUGCCACUGAAAGCAAAAGGCAUGAAGACAGCAUGAGUAGAUGAACACCUCCCUUCUAGGUUACUGGGUGUGUUUAUUUUUUUUUACUAUCACCAGACACUUGAUGAUUGCAUCAUUUUGCACAUGACUCCAUGGGCUGAAGAAAAGGUAUUGAAGAACAUUGAUGAUGUAUUGGAAAUUAACGACCAUUCAUAUAAUUAAAAAAAACAAGACAAUCAAGAUGUUGGGAAUGGACCUUGUGGUUAAAGAAACGUUGGGUACUGGAAAUACCACAGAGAUUAAGCCUCUCUUAAUCUUUCAUUUAUAAUUCAGAGAUGACAUCUCCCUUUCUUCUUUACCUACUUAAGGUGUAUGAGGCAAGGAGGCGAGGUUCUCUUUGAAGACUACAAGUUUAACUUGCUUGUUCAGUUUCUCCUUACCAUCAGCAAGAAGAAAAAUUAUAGAUGCAUAUACAUUACUUACAAAUAAAUUCAAGAAUGUGAUUCUCUUCUCUUCUCCAUACCAUCUCCAAAGUCUCACUCAGCUUUUCAAAGACAAGU